GCUGGGCGCGGUGGUGCAUGCCUGUAAUCCCAGCGGCUCGGGAGGCUGAGGCAGGAGGAUCAAGAGUUCAAAGCCAGCCUCAGCAAUAGCGAGGCACUAAGCAACUCAGUGAGACCCUGUCUCUA
rnacentral:sRNA from 1 species